CCCCUAGACGUUCUGGGCUGCACGCGCGCUACAAUAAUACGCACAGCGAGUAUCACCGAGCUCGAAAGGGCAAGGUAAACAAUAGAAAAGGUACUGUAAUGGUUAUAGAUCCUUGUAAUUAUUGAUCUUCAACGAGGAAUUCCUAGUAAGUAUGUGUCAUCAUCACGCACUGAUUACGUCCCUGCCCUUUGUACACACCGCCCGUCGCUACUACUGAUUGGGUGUUCAAGUGAGAUGCUUAGACCCUUGUUGCAUGGUUCAUUAUUGUGCUCCGAAAGGAAAAAGUUUCAAGCUUGAGUGUCUAGAGGAAGUAAAAGUCGUAACA
rnacentral:rRNA from 1 species